GUGACCGAUAGUGAACCAGUACCGUGAGGGAAAGGUGAAAAGAACCCCGGGAGGGGAGUGAAAGAGAACCUGAAACCGUGUGCCUACAAAUAGUCAGAGCCCGUUAAUGGGUGAUGGCGUGCCUUUUGUAGAAUGAACCGGCGAGUUACGAUAUCGUGCGAGGUUAAGCAGAAGAUGCGGAGCCGUAGCGAAAGCGAGUCUGAAUAGGGCGAAGAGUACGAUGUUGUAGACCCGAAACCGUGUGAGCUAGCCAUGAGCAGGCUGAAGGUCAGGUAACACUGACUGGAGGGCCGAACCAGGGCACGUUGAAAAGUGCUUGGAUGACUUGUGGCUAGGGGUGAAAUUCCAAUCGAACCCGGAGAUAGCUGGUUCUCUCCGAAAUAGCUUUAGGGCUAGCCUCGAUGUUAAGUCUACUGGAGGUAGAGCACUGAAUGGGUGAUGGCCCCACCUCGGGGUACUGAUCUCAAUCAAACUCCGAAUGCCAGAUAGAUAUAAUCGGGAGUCAGACUGUGGGUGAUAAGGUCCAUGGUCAAAAGGGAAAGAGCCCAGACCGCCAGCUAAGGCCCCCAAGUGUCCGUUAAGUGGAAAAGGAUGUGGAGAUGCACAGACAACUAGGAGGUUGGCUUAGAAGCAGCCAUCCUUUAAAGAGUGCGUAAUAGCUCACUAGUCGAGUGACCCUGCGCCGAAAAUGUACCGGGGCUAAAACAUAUUACCGAAGCUGUGGAUACCUUUAUAGGUAUGGUAGGAGAGCGUUCUAUGUGCGAAGAAGGUGUACCGUGAGGAGUGCUGGAGCGCAUAGAAGUGAGAAUGCCGGUAUGAGUAGCGAAAGACAGGUGAGAAUCCUGUCCACCGUAAGACUAAGGUUUCCAGGGGAAGGCUCGUCCGCCCUGGGUUAGUCGGGACCUAAGGAGAGACCGAAAGGUGUAUCCGAUGGACAACAGGUUGAUAUUCCUGUACUAGAGUAUAUAGUGAUGGAGGGACGCAGUAGGCUAACUAAACCAGACGAUUGGAAGUGUCUGGCCAAGCAGUGAGGUGUGAUAUGAGUCAAAUGCUUAUAUCUAUAACAUUGAGCUGUGAUGGGGAGCGAAGUUUAGUAGCGAAGUUAGUGAUGUCACACUGCCGAGAAAAGCUUCUAGCGUUAAUUAUACUCUACCCGUACCGCAAACCGACACAGGUAGUCGAGGCGAGUAGCCUCAGGUGAGCGAGAGAACUCUCGUUAAGGAACUCGGCAAAAUGACCCCGUAACUUCGGGAGAAGGGGUGCUGACUUUAGGUCAGCCGCAGUGAAUAGGCCCAAGCAACUGUUUAUCAAAAACACAGCUCUCUGCUAAAUCGUAAGAUGAUGUAUAGGGGGUGACGCCUGCCCGGUGCUGGAAGGUUAAGAGGAGUGCUUAGCAAUAGCGAAGGUAUGAAUUGAAGCCCCAGUAAACGGCGGCCGUAACUAUAACGGUCCUAAGGUAGCGAAAUUCCUUGUCGGGUAAGUUCC
rnacentral:rRNA from 1 species